rnacentral:lncRNA from 10 species
GUUUGCGAUCCCCGCGUCCAGGAUGGAGCAGCUGAACGAACUGGAGCUGCUGAUGGAGAAGAGUUUUUGGGAGGAGGCGGAGCUGCCGGCGGAGCUAACCGGGGUCUUUUUCUGUCGCUCAGGAAGGGGUGCAGUAGCAUGAUCGUAUCUCACUGCAGCCUCAAACUCCUGGGCUCAAGCAGUCCUUCCACCUCAGCCUCUUGAGUAGCUGGGACUACAGAUUUCAGAAGAAAGUGGUAGCUUCCUUUCCAAGAACAGUUCUGAGCACAGGAAUGGAUAACCGGUACCUGGUGUUGGCAGUCAAUACUGUACAGAACAAAGAGGGAAACUGUGAAAAGCGCCUGGUCAUCACUGCUUCACAGUCACUAGAAAAUAAAGAACUAUGCAUCCUUAGGAAUGACUGGUGUUCUGUUCCAGUAGAGCCAGGAGAUAUCAUUCAUUUGGAGGGAGACUGCACAUCUGACACUUGGAUAAUAGAUAAAGAUUUUGGAUAUUUGAUUCUGUAUCCAGACAUGCUGAUUUCUGGCACCAGCAUAGCCAGUA